AGAAAAGCAAUGAUAAGAACAAGUAGUAAUUAAUUAAGAUAAACAGAAAGUUACCGGUUGAUGAGAGGUGCAUAUACAAUUAAUUAUGAAUACAUCUUUGAGCUUCGCACUGAAAGACAAAUGUUUAGUAGGCUGUGACGAAUUUGACACACGUUAUAGUGUCAUAGUAUUUAUUUAGAUACUAACUGAGGUAAGCAGUGUGAGCUGUUUACAAACAAAGGUGGUAACGCGAGAUAUGCCCUCGUCCUUUUU
rfam:Terrisporobacter sp. 08-306576 Contig112, whole genome shotgun sequence.